ensembl:lncRNA
GAGGGGUUCCUCCCUUCACCCUUUGAAGUGGGUGGGGGGCCGGACGCCCGCCACGCCUGAGUGCGGAGGGCGAGGGCGGGAGCAAGGCCACCACAAAGACUGCGAUUGUUAGCCGGCGGCGCACAGUGGGCGGGGCUCGGGGGCCAGCAUGGAAAUAAGGCUGCAGCCCCUCUCCCGGCUCCCGCCCCUUCUCCUUCCUCCCCGGCUCCAGCUGGUCCAGCUCCACAAGGAGGGACCGGUGGAGGAGCGCCCAGCAGGCCCAGAGGUGCACCUCUCCUGCUGGGUCAUCGGGCUGUGCAUGCCGAGGGUGGUGGUCAGGAGGCCAGGCCCCAGGUGUUCCAAGGGCACCUAGUUUCCACCAGGACUGGGUGAGGAGCAAGGAGAAAGCAGAUGACCAAAAUUGGGCCUAUGGGGAGUCCCAGAAUGUGGCCCAUCAGAGGUCUGGCAGCCUCAGGACAGGAGCCUCUGGGGCUGGAAGCCUGACAGCCAAGGCGCAGAAAAUUGGUCAGCCCCCUGGCUGCAGCAGGACAGCAAAUGGGGGAGCGACAGAGUACCCAGCUCAGGCUGGGUGGAGAGCCUCAGAGCCUGCCCCCAGACGGCCAGCGAUCAAAGAGAAGAGUGGAUCCAGGAAAAAUCGAGCUGCCAAGUGGUUGAUUGGCUUUGCCUCCAUCAGCCUGAUGAAUAUUCAUGAGGUGCGCUCUCUUCGUGAGCCAGAGCUCUGCGUUCAGCCUGUGCGCCUGCGUGUGCGCCUGCGUGAGUGCGUGUGUGCGGUGCAGGUCACACACGCCUCUUCCGCUGCGUGCAGGACGCCAGCCCGCGCUUGGCCCGGAUUGGCCCAGCGGCGGUCUAGGAGAUGCCAUGGCAACCCCUGGCUGGUUAUCUGGCGGGUCUCCCCUUCUUCCCUUUUCACUUCAAGCCCCUGCAGAUAAACCCUAGGCUGAUGGUGCAAAUGUCUGUGCUGGAUGUGCACACACAGGUGUACAAGUAUCUGUGAGCGAGUGUGCAAGAAGCAGGGAGUGGAAGCAGCGGUCACCACCCCCCAGAGCAGGCAGCCCACGGGAACUCGAGGGGCCCACUGGCCACAGCGGGUGUGGGUGGGAGUCUGGUUCUAAUUUCCAAAAAGACUUGAGGCAAGGCCACCAUUUUCCUCGUGGGAGGAGGUGGGUGAGAAAUUGCAACCAACAUUCUGGAAAUUUGUUAAGUUUCCUUUAUUUGGGGACAUCAGGGAACUUAAUUCUUUGAUGUCAGCGGUUCAUCGGGAUCAAGAAAUCAGAGGCUUUGGACCCAAAGUCAACCACUGACAUCUACUCAGCAUCACCGCGGGGCAAACUUCCUGCGUGUGCACAGGGCAGACAUUUCUGACACCCCACCUCCUCUGAACAGUGUGUGUGAGUGUGCAUGCUCGUGUGCGUGAGUGAGGUGCACCCAGAGGUCAUGGUCCCAGCUGAUACAGACGCACUUUGUGAGCCAGGAGGCAGACGCAUUUGCACCUCCGACUGAGAACCAGGUGACGGUGUGAUUGCUGUGGAGAAGCCCCAGGUCAGUUCCUGCUGGGUGCUCGGAUCCUGGGAACCCUCCCUCCGCUUCUCCCUGGCUGUCCUGAGAACGCCAUCCUGUUGGCAGGGGCUGUGCUCCCAUCUGGAUGGUGGCGGGUGAGGGUAUUUCAGCACGUCCUGGAAGGAGCAGGGUGCAUGGUUUUCCAUCAGUUGGGGCGCUGUCAGCCCAGGUUCCUGGUGUUGAGGGAGGGGCUUGCCCCAGGGAGUAAGGAGGGCUGGAGAGAAGGGAGGUGGGCUCUGCUGAAAAGCCCUUGAAAGGCAGCCCUCAAGGCCUUCUCCAGGGCUUGGGGUUGGGUCCCUGGGAGGGCCUGGGUGGGCAGUGUGAGCAGCGCAGGGGCCCAUGGUCCUGGGUGCACCUGAGUGUGAGGGUGGGUGGGUGUCCUGGACAGUCCAGGAGACUUGGAGAGGCAGGGGGCAGAGUAUCCCAGAGAGAGAGUGUGAGAAAGGCAGGGAGGAAGGGCCUGGAAUGGCUGGAGUCUGCACGAGGACCCCUUGCCCCAGAAGCGGUGUAUAGAGAAUUGUGGGCCCCACAGGGGAGACGGUCUGUGGUGUUUGGAGGUUAAGGAGAGAGUGAGGGGCCUGAGAGGGUCUGACACACCCUUCCCCACUCCUUAGCUGCAGGGCCCCUCGGGAGUGUGGACAGUGGCCAGUGGCUGGUCGCCCCUCAGUGGGGUCAGACGGGCUUCAGAGGACCAGCCGUGGCACCAGCCUCUCUGGUUCUCCAAAGGAGGAAGCAGGGACCCCAGGACCACGUGGCUUAUGGUGCCCGGGGCGGGGAACCCCUGCCGUCAGGUGUCCCUGCGCCGCCGGUGUGUUCAGGGUGCAGCUGGCGGUCACUUCACACGCUCUUCCUGCCGGGCGCCCAGCCCGCACCCUGGGAUGCACAAACACUGAGGGAGAGAGGUGGCACAGACCGAGGAGCGUCACCGUGGAAAUAAGGUGUGUUGGGAAGCUGCAGCACAGAGGAGCUUGAGGGCAGGACGCCCUGAUGGUGGGCGCUGGUCAGUGACAGGUCAGUCCUCCUACAAGUGUGGGAAUGGGGGCAUGCUGGGCUAGGGGAGCCAGAGCUGCCAGUGGCCCCACAGCUGGCUGUUCUGUAGCUGCCGCUGUGUUCUCCCCUGGCAGGUACGGGUGGGUCUGUGUGCAGGCUGAGAGGCACCCUCUUUGGGAGCAGUGGUCCCACAUGCCCCUGGGAAGGACGCAGGACACCAGGACACCAGCCUCUUCCUUCCUUCUGCUUCUCCAGGGAGAGGCACCUCCUCCUCCAGUCUCCCCGCCCCACCCCAUGCAGAGAGGAGGUGGUUCCACACCUGUAGCCAAAGCUCUGCCAGGAGAGCAUCUCCUCGUGGCUCUGGGAAGGGGUGGCCUCCCGCAGCCACGCCCUGCACCCUCUGGCAUCUGGCCCUCUGGCAGGGGCCCAGGGGCUGCCCACCAGCCCUAGGGACAAGUCCAGCAGCUCCUCCGCCCAGCACUGCUCUUGCCCAUUUGGGGGAGCAGUAUCCCUGCAGAGUUUAACGUCUUGGUGAGCUGCCCCCUGCCACCUGGAGUGUCACUGGUGAAGACAGAAAUCAGCAGGGUAGGGUGGAUGUCUGCUCACCCCAGCCCUUGUGCAACAAGGACCAUAGGCAGGGUGUCUCCAGGCCUGUGCUCAGCCUGGGGGAAAGUUGUCCAGCGGCCAGCAUGUGGCCUUGGCCGUCUAGUUUCUAACCAGCGGUCAGAGCCCAGACCCCCGUGAGCAGCCAUGAGUGACUCUCAUACUGAGAGCGGUCAAGAGUCCUUCCAGAGCCCCCAAGGGGCCAGGAGCUCUAAAUGCCCCAAGGAGGACCAGGAAAGAGCUGCCUGGAGGCUGGAGCUCAUCACUCUGGGCUCCAAGGGGGCCCGUGCUGCCUGCCAUGAGCAGUCUGGUGCUGGGACGCUCCUGCCAGCAGUUGGCAGCCAGCAGAUGAGGGGAGUGGACGGCCAGCAGCCCUGGCCAUCUCUGGGGAGCUGGUCUUCACUUAAUACCUCCCGCUCCCCCGGGACUGCACCAGCCUGACUGCCACCACCAGCAGUGCAGUGAGAGAACUGAAUCUGAGGCUUAUCUCUGGAAAUUAAUCCAGCUCAGGGUGGGAUUAACUAGGACAUCCCUUUAGAUAGUGGAACCCAAGGUCAGGGAGACGGGAGCUGGGAGCAGCCAGCUGGGAGCUGCUGAGCCCUGAUUUUCCUCUAAGUAGAGCUGCUGGUCACCACGGGGAACUGGGCAGGGGCUGAGAGCUGGGGGUGGGAAGGGAGGUAUUGAUGAGGGGGCAGGGUUUGGCCCAGAAGUUCUGGGGGGAGCGGUAGAGGCUUAGGGAUGGUGGUCUCCAGAAAAUAGAGGGAGAGAGAUGGGAGAGGGGAAGAAGGGGCAGUUUUUUGCUGUUUCCCUGGAUCCUCCCUGCAGCCUUCCAGGCAGAGGUCCUGCCCACCCCCAACCCUCCAUUUUAUAGAUGGGGAAACUGAGUCCUGAUGCUUCCUGCCCCCAUCAGCACCCCAAAGGCUCCUGUCCAGCCAGGUUGUUCCCUCGUGGGCUGCCCACAGUGCAGACAGGUUCAGGCCAGCCAACUAAGGGGCAGACAGGAGGGGAGGCAGUGCUCUAGCUGCAUCCCCCUGCUCCCCACCGCCUGCCACCCACCCCCUCCACUGCUUCCUCCUGCUCUCCUUGUCCUCCCCUGCCUUCCUUCCCCCAUCCUUGGUGGUCCAGGGGACCAAGGGGACGUGGCCCAUUGAGGGAGGGUCUCCCUAGAAGAGCAGCAACGCCCUCAGGUACUAGAGAGUCCUAGGACAGUGACCACUCCUGGCCUGUGGCUGGCUGCACCGUCCAGCCAGGAGAAGGGUUUCAGACAGCUUUGUCCAGAGUUGUGGAUUUUGGCAGUAAUUUUAUGGAGCUUCAUGAAUGCUUGUUCAUUUUCUUUGACUAGACUUUGAUUUAAAAUCCAGGGCUCCUUGGAAGGGACAGGAGAGAAAUUUACCUAAUUCAUCACCUCUGUGUGCAAACACAUGAAGAAGAGACACCUCUUUGAAUGGGGCCUCAGGCCCAGCACCUUUGCAGGGUCCACACGCCACCCCCGCCCCCACAGCACACACCUUUAUUACUCUGUUAAUUUGGAAAACAGGUCAUGGGAAAUUGCAUUGCUUAAAGUAGGACACCAAUUAUAACACUGCAUUCUAUUAAAAUGAGAGCAUCUCAGGGAUCUUUGUUAGUUUACUGUAAUUAAAGGCAAAGUGUUCGG